rnacentral:rRNA from 1 species
GGCUCAGGACGAACGCUGGCGGCGUGCCUAAUACAUGCAAGUCGAGCGGACAGAUGGGAGCUUGCUCCCUGAUGUUAGCGGCGGACGGGUGAGUAACACGUGGGUAACCUGCCUGUAAGACUGGGAUAACUCCGGGAAACCGGGGCUAAUACCGGAUGGUUGUUUGAACCGCAUGGUUCAAACAUAAAAGGUGGCUUCGGCUACCACUUACAGAUGGACCCGCGGCGCAUUAGCUAGUUGGUGAGGUAACGGCUCACCAAGGCGACGAUGCGUAGCCGACCUGAGAGGGUGAUCGGCCACACUGGGACUGAGACACGGCCCAGACUCCUACGGGAGGCAGCAGUAGGGAAUCUUCCGCAAUGGACGAAAGUCUGACGGAGCAACGCCGCGUGAGUGAUGAAGGUUUUCGGAUCGUAAAGCUCUGUUGUUAGGGAAGAACAAGUACCGUUCGAAUAGGGCGGUACCUUGACGGUACCUAACCAGAAAGCCACGGCUAACUACGUGCCAGCAGCCGCGGUAAUACGUAGGUGGCAAGCGUUGUCCGGAAUUAUUGGGCGUAAAGGGCUCGCAGGCGGUUUCUUAAGUCUGAUGUGAAAGCCCCCGGCUCAACCGGGGAGGGUCAUUGGAAACUGGGGAACUUGAGUGCAGAAGAGGAGAGUGGAAUUCCACGUGUAGCGGUGAAAUGCGUAGAGAUGUGGAGGAACACCAGUGGCGAAGGCGACUCUCUGGUCUGUAACUGACGCUGAGGAGCGAAAGCGUGGGGAGCGAACAGGAUUAGAUACCCUGGUAGUCCACGCCGUAAACGAUGAGUGCUAAGUGUUAGGGGGUUUCCGCCCCUUAGUGCUGCAGCUAACGCAUUAAGCACUCCGCCUGGGGAGUACGGUCGCAAGACUGAAACUCAAAGGAAUUGACGGGGGCCCGCACAAGCGGUGGAGCAUGUGGUUUAAUUCGAAGCAACGCGAAGAACCUUACCAGGUCUUGACAUCCUCUGACAAUCCUAGAGAUAGGACGUCCCCUUCGGGGGCAGAGUGACAGGUGGUGCAUGGUUGUCGUCAGCUCGUGUCGUGAGAUGUUGGGUUAAGUCCCGCAACGAGCGCAACCCUUGAUCUUAGUUGCCAGCAUUCAGUUGGGCACUCUAAGGUGACUGCCGGUGACAAACCGGAGGAAGGUGGGGAUGACGUCAAAUCAUCAUGCCCCUUAUGACCUGGGCUACACACGUGCUACAAUGGACAGAACAAAGGGCAGCGAAACCGCGAGGUU